CGGCGCGCCUAACACAUGCAAGUCGAACGGAGCUUAGAGAGCUUGCUUUUUAAGCUUAGUGGCGAACGGGUGAGUAACGCGUGAGUAUCCUGCCCUAGAGUGGGGGACAACAGUUGGAAACGACUGCUAAUACCGCAUAAGCCCACGGUACCGCAUGGUACUGAGGGAAAAGGAUUUAUUCGCUUUAGGAUGGACUCGCGUCCAAUUAGCUAGUUGGUGAGGUAACGGCCCACCAAGGCGACGAUUGGUAGCCGGACUGAGAGGUUGAACGGCCACAUUGGGACUGAGACACGGCCCAGACUCCUACGGGAGGCAGCAGUGGGGGAUAUUGCACAAUGGGGGAAACCCUGAUGCAGCGACGCCGCGUGGAGGAAGAAGGUUUUCGGAUUGUAAACUCCUGUCGUUAGGGACGAUAAUGACGGUACCUAACAAGAAAGCACCGGCUAACUACGUGCCAGCAGCCGCGGUAAAACGUAGGGUGCAAGCGUUGUCGGGAAUUACUGGGUGUAAAGGGAGCGCAGGCGGGAAGACAAGUUGGAAGUGAAAACCAUGGGCUCAACCCAUGAAUUGCUUCCAAAACUGUUUUUCUUGAGUAGUGCAGAGGUAGAUGGAAUUCCCGGUGUAGCGGUGGAAUGCGUAGAUAUCGGGAGGAACACCAGUGGCGAAGGCGGUCUACUGGGCACCAACUGACGCUGAGGCUCGAAAGCAUGGGUAGCAAACAGGAUUAGAUACCCUGGUAGUCCAUGCCGUAAACGAUGAUU
rnacentral:rRNA from 1 species